rnacentral:rRNA from 1 species
CAAUAGCGUAUAUUAAAGUUGUUGCGGUUAAAAAAGCUCGUAGUUGGAUUUCUGCCGAGGACGACCGGUCCGCCCUCUGGGUGAGCAUCUGGAUCGGCCUGGGCAUCUUCUUGGGGAACGUGUCUGCACUUGACUGUGUGGUGCGGUAUCCAGGACUUUUACUUUGAGGAAAUUAGAGUGUUUCAAGCAGGCGCACGCCUUGAAUACAUUAGCAUGGAAUAAUAAGAUAGGACCUCGGUUCUAUUUUGUUGGUUUCUAGAGCUGAGGUAAUGAUUAAUAGGGAUAGUUGGGGGCAUUCGUAUUUAACUGUCAGAGGUGAAAUUCUUGAUUGUUAAUGAACGGACUACUGCGAAAGCAAUUUGCCAAUGGCAGUGUUUUCAUUGAUCAAGAACGAAAGUUAGGGGAUCGAAGACGAUUAGAU